UCUGUGGACAGUUGACAUGGUUAUUGGAUUGGGAGCUGCAGGAAGUGCCCAACAUGGGAAGAAAAACCCUUUAGAAUGAAAGGGCUGUCCACACAAGUUCUCUUGCUCUCCCAAUCCCAGGUUGGGCUCAGCAAACAACUUUCCAGCUGUUGGUUCUGUAAGGGUUUCAGUGAGCAAGACGCACUGUGGUCCAGGAAAAUCGAGCACCAGGGGCCUCUGGGCUGCAGGCCAAGGAACACUCGUUUGACUUUUAGAGACUGAGGCUGUCUGAGACCAUUUACCAGCUAUCACUGAACAGUGCCCUAAGCCUUGGGUGUCAUGGAGGGAACAGAUAUGGCCCCUGGCCUUAGAUUACCUACAACAUGGUGUGGGAGAUGGGGCACUUAUGAAGAAUGUGUUGUGAGAUGUAAUUUUUCAGAAUGAGGAGAAAUCCUUCCCACUAAGGGAUUAAGGCCCAGGAGUUGCUGUGAUUCAGGCCAUGUGAAUUGUUCCCCCACCUGCACACCCUGGGCAUCAAGGAGAAGGCAAUAUCUUUGCUCACAAAGCAUUUUGCAGGCCUGGGAAAUGGAGCUUGGAUUGUAAGGGGUCCGAACUACUUUAGCGCUGCAGUGGAAAUAGCCUCCGCAUGAGGGAGGAGAAGAAUCAAGCGGGGAAUGUGCCAGCUGAGGACUGGAAACCGCAGUCAGAAGAAUGGAUCUGCAUUUUCCACUCCUGGCAGAGAACAGGCCUCAGUCAGGAAUACAACCAGACGGCUGGGCCUGGGAGUCUCCGAAGCAAACCUGGAACUGAGUAAGUCAUUAUCCUGGGUGAAAUUGAGUUUGAGGAUGAUCAGGAGAAGGGGACAGACAAAGAAUCAGAAAGCGUGACAAAGGAGCUGUCUCCCCAUCUCAAAGCAUUAGACAAGGUAAAACUGUGAUCACUAGUUUCAUCAUCGUCUGUUCACGCGGAGGCCCCUGUCUGCUGGGGUGGCCAGGGAGGGCUUCAUGGAGGAGGAAAGUCUUGAAAUUUGAGUUGGAACUUUCUGGAUAGAGGAGAGGUUGUGAGAAGGUGGAGAACAGCACAGGACAGAGAUGUGAGUAUGCAUUAUGUCCCAGCAGCGAUAAGACGAGGAUGACCACCCGUGGCUGCCCAUGUGCCAGCCCACGCCUCAGCCCAGGUGGGGCCUUCAUGGUGAAUUGCAUUAAUGGCCCCAGAUCAUCACCUCUCUCUGAAUCCAUGCCCUUUGUUAUGCGACUGUAGUGACCUCCCAAUCUGCCUGGAUUCAGCUGUGUCAGCGGUGCUUUAGCCAAUAGAAGGAGGCAGAAGGAUGCUGUGCAAUGAAGGAUUAACUCAGCACACCUGGGUGGUCCAAACCUGCCCAUUCCAAAGCAAGUUUUGGCCUGUGGCAGCCUGAUAAGAAUGUCAUUGUUUACCUGGAGCCCGUGGGUCAUGUCACAUAGUCUACACUAAAUGAGAUUUAUGGCGGGGGCUGUGAGCCACAUAGUAUUCAGGUGACCUCUGGAGAAGUUGGAAACUAAGGCCCACCACAUGGGCAGUCAGCCAUGCCUAUGUGACCAGACCCCAAUAAGAACCCUGGACACUAAGGUUGGAGUGAGCUUCCCUGGGUGGCCAUGUUCCAUGUAUGUUGCCAUACAUCCUGGCUGGGAGAAUUAAGCCCUGUCUGUGCAACUCCACUGGGAGAGGACAGCUGGAAGUUUGCACCUGCUGUCUCCUAUGCA
rnacentral:lncRNA from 1 species